GCAUCUGGACCAUCCCCAUUUCACAUCCUACUCUUGCAUUAAGUAUUGCAGAAAGAAAAGGUCAGAUUAUCUGUAAGAAGGUGACCAGCAGCAGGAGAAGCUGCCCUGCAUGGAGCCUUGGCUCCAGAGGAAAGAAUCCAGUUGGGAAUGAGUGUCUUACAGGAAAGAAAAAGCACCUGACUACUACGUCUAUCAUACUGCUUAUCUGGUCCUGAAUUCAAAAUUAAUGAGGAAACACUUUAUUGCUGUCACUGGUCGUUGAGCCACCAAAUCUGCAUACACACAGCCUGGCACUCUUUCCCACUAAGUGCAAAGGAGGAGUCAGUAACUACUAAGCAGAACUAGCUGUCUUCAAGGGUCCUGUGGGCCCAUUUAACCCUAUGGACCACAACUCCUACAGCACUCUUGGAUUACUUUGCUGUUACUGUAUUACAAGUGUACUGAGUAACCAC
rnacentral:lncRNA from 1 species